GGUGAUCCCCACACUGGGAUUGAGCACGGCCCAGAUUCUACGGGAGGCAGCAGUAGGGAUCUUCCGCAAUGGACGAAAGUCUGACGGAGCAACGCCGCGUGAGUGACGAAGCCUUCGGGUCGUAAAGUUCUGUUGUUAGGGAAGAACAAGUACCGUUCGAAUAGGGCGGUACCUUGACGGUACCUAACCAGAAAGCCACGGCUAACUACGUGCCAGCAGCCGCGGUAAUACGUAGGUGGCAAGCGUUGUCCGGAAUUAUUGGGCGUAAAGCGCGCGCAGGCGGUCUUUUAAGUCUGAUGUGAAAGCCCACGGCUCAACCGUGGAGGGUCAUUGGAAACUGGAGGACUUGAGUGCAGAAGAGGAGAGUGGAAUUCCACGUGUAGCGGUGAAAUGCGUAGAUAUGUGGAGGAACACCAGUGGCGAAGGCGGCUCUCUGGUCUGUAACUGACGCUGAGGCGCGAAAGCGUGGGGAGCAAACAGGAUUAGAUACCCUGGUAGUCCACGCCGUAAACGAUGAGUGCUAGGUGUUGGGGGGUUCCACCCUCAGUGCUGAAGUUAACACAUUAAGCACUCCGCCUGGGGAGUACGACCGCAAGGUUGAAACUCAAAGGAAUUGACGGGGGCCCGCACAAGCAGUGGAGCAUGUGGUUUAAUUCGAAGCAACGCGAAGAACCUUACCAGGUCUUGACAUCCUCUGACAAUCCUGGAGACAGGACGUUCCCCUUCGGGGGACAGAGUGACAGGUGGUGCAUGGUUGUCGUCAGCUCGUGUCGUGAGAUGUUGGGUUAAGUCCCGCAACGAGCGCAACCCUUGAUCUUAGUUGCCAGCAUUCAGUUGGGCACUCUAAGGUGACUGCCGGUGACAAACCGGAGGAAGGUGGGGAUGACGUCAAAUCAUCAUGCCCCUUAUGACCUGGGCUACACACGUGCUACAAUGGACGGUACAAAGGGCAGCAACACCGCGAGGUGAAGCGAAUCCCAUAAAGCCGUUCUCAGUUCGGAUUGCAGGCUGCAACUCGCCUGCAUGAAGCCGGAAUUGCUAGUAAUCGCGGAUCAGCAUGCCGCGGUGAAUACGUUCCCGGGCCUUGUACACACCGCCCGUCACACCACGAGAGUUUGUAACACCCGAAGUCGGUGGGGUAACCUUUAUGAGCCAGCCGCCGAAUGUG
rnacentral:rRNA from 1 species